rnacentral:rRNA from 1 species
AUUGAACGCUGGCGGCAGGCCUAACACAUGCAAGUCGAGCGGGGUUUUCGGACCUAGCGGCGGACGGGUGAGUAAUGCGUAGGAAGCUACCCGAUAGAGGGGGAUACCAGUUGGAAACGACUGUUAAUACCGCAUAACGUCUACGGACCAAAGUGUGGGACCUUCGGGCCACAUGCUAUCGGAUGCGCCUACGUGGGAUUAGCUAGUUGGUGAGGUAAUGGCUCACCAAGGCGACGAUCCCUAGCUGGUUUGAGAGGAUGAUCAGCCACACUGGAACUGAGACACGGUCCAGACUCCUACGGGAGGCAGCAGUGGGGAAUAUUGGACAAUGGGCGCAAGCCUGAUCCAGCCAUGCCGCGUGUGUGAAGAAGGCCUUCGGGUUGUAAAGCACUUUCAGUAGGGAGGAAGCGUUGUGUGUUAAUACCCUUGAUGAGUGGACGUUACUCGCAGAAUAAGCACCGGCUAACUCUGUGCCAGCCGCCGCCGUAACAC